CCUACGGGAUGCAGCCGUGAGGAAUAUUUGUCAAUGGACGAGCGUCUGAACCAGCCAAGUAGCGUGAAGGAUGACUGCCCUAUGGGUUGUAAACUUCUUUUAUAUGGGAAUAAAACGUUCCACGUGUGGGAUUUUGUAUGUACCAUAUGACUAAGGAUCGGCAAACUCCGUGCCAGCAGCCGCGGUAAUACGUAGGAUCCGAGCGUUAUCCGGAUUUAUUGGGUUUAAAGGGAGCGUAGGUGGAUUGUUAAGUCAGUUGUGAAAGUUUGCGGCUCAACCGUAACAUUGCAGUUGAAACUGGCAGUCUUGAGUACAGUAGAGGUGGGCGGAAUUCGUGGUGUAGCGGUGAAAUGCUUAGAUAUCACGAAGAACUCCGAUUGCGAAGGCAGUUCACUGGACUGCAACUGACACUGAGGCUCGAAAGUGUGGGUAUCAAACAGGAUUAGAUACCCGGGUAGUC
rnacentral:rRNA from 1 species